AUUAGUAAAUCUGGCCCUGUGUUUGUAGGCUGCAGAGUCACGCAGGGAGCGGCUGGACAGGGGAAACUCUUUGCCAAGUAUCUUGGAGCAGAAGGUCUAUCCCUAUGAAAGCCUCAUUGUCACUCACAGAGGACGCUGUAAGCUGCCACCAGGAGUGGACCGCACUCGGCUAGAGAGACACCUGGACCCAGCAGAGUUCCAGCAGGUGUUUGGGAUGAACCUGGCUGAGUUUGACCGACUGUCCUUGUGGAAAAGGAACGAACUGAAGAAGAAAGCCUCGCUCUUCUAAUGAGCCAACAAACCCACAUGGAGGCACACACAGAAACACACACACACACACACACACACACACACACACACACACACACACA